UGCCUGACUGACUCUGCCUCCCUG
rnacentral:piRNA from 1 species